UACAGAGGUCUCAAGCGUUGUUCGGAUUCAUUGGGCGUAAAGGGUGUGUAGGUGGCGCGCUAAGUCGGGUGUGAAAUCUCGGAGCUUAACUCCGAAACUGCAUUCGAUACUGCCGUGCUUGAGGACCGGAGAGGAGACUGGAAUUUACGGUGUAGCGGUGAAAUGCGUAGAUAUCGUAAGGAAGACCAGUGGCGAAGGCGGGUCUCUGGACAGUUCCUGACGCUGAGGCGCGAAAGCCAGGGGAGCAAACAGG
rnacentral:rRNA from 1 species